rnacentral:rRNA from 1 species
UACGGGGGGAGCAAGCGUUGUUCGGAUUUACUGGGCGUAAAGGGCGCGUAGGCGGUCAGCACAAGUCAGUUGUGAAAUCUCCGGGCUUAACUCGGAAAGGUCAACUGAUACUGUGCGACUAGAGUGCAGAAGGGGCAACUGGAAUUCUCGGUGUAGCGGUGAAAUGCGUAGAUAUCAGGAAGAACACCUAUGGCGAAGGCAGCACUCUGGGACGGUACUGACGCUGAGACGCGAAAGCGCGGGGAGCGAACAGG